GUGUCAGGCUUUGUAGGACGAAAAGGCAGCUUUGAGUUGGAGAUCAACGGGGAGCUGGUCUUCUCCAAGCUGGAAACAGGUGGCUUCCCCAUGGAAAAGGAUGUCAGGGACGCUCUCCAGAACACCUAUGCUGGCAAGCAAGUAGAAAAGUGGACCAGAAAUCGCCCACCUUGUGUCAUCCUGUAGAUUUCAAUUCCCUCCAUCCUCCAACAGUUAUCACUCAGACCAAUGCUGCUGUCUGUCACCACUCACACAGCAGAGACUCCUUUCUGUUCCUUCUCUCUCUCUGCUCCCAUUGCAGUGUUCCAGGACUUUAUAUGAUUACUGUAGACCAAAGCUGAAAGGUUUAUAGUAUGAUGACCCCAGUCCUGGCAGCUCCUAUGUUAUGGGAUCAGAGAAAGGGAGGACAUGGAAAGACUGGUUGGGUGGAACUUCCUUAUUCCAGAUCUUCUAUGGCUAUCUGUUUACAGCACCAUCAUCAGCCAGAUAAACUAUCAAUUUGAGUUGCUGAAGCCUGUCUCGCGUUGUGUUACUGUGUAUUGAUCUCCCAUAUUGCAACUGAUGCUUUGCAAUUAGCUUUAAGUAGAGCUGGUCAAGUGAGUAGAUGAAUUGCUAGUUAUGGUAAUAUAGGCCACCACCCACUAGUCUGUAUGCUACACUAACGAGACAUCAGCCCAUGUUCA
ensembl:lncRNA